UACGUAGGGUGCAAGCGUUGUCCGGAAUUAUUGGGCGUAAAGAGCUCGUAGGCGGUCUGUCGCGUCUGCUGUGAAAACUCAGGGCUCAACCUCGGGCUUGCAGUGGGUACGGGCAGACUAGAGUGCGGUAGGGGAGAAUGGAAUUCCUGGUGUAGCGGUGGAAUGCGCAGAUAUCAGGAGGAACACCGAUGGCGAAGGCAGUUCUCUGGGCCGUAACUGACGCUGAGGAGCGAAAGCAUGGGGAGCGAACAGG
rnacentral:rRNA from 1 species